AAUAGAAGUAGCUUAUUUGUUUGAGUUAAGAUCUGAAAUUUGUUGUGCAUGUACCUGAGUAUAUUGCUCUACUAGUAAGUUCUGAGAAAUACUGCAUUUUGUUGUUUUUGGUGGCAAAUAUGUUAGGAAUACAACUUUCGAUUUUAUAUUAGUUAAGGUCUGAUUUUUGAGCAGCAUGUACUACAAUAGUGUACUUUUCAUCUGUACUAACUUACAGGAGUUAGGCUAGCCUCUUCUUUGCUAAAGCGGCCCAUCUUGUCAAAAACAGUGCUUUUUAUGACUUUUGAGGCGAUUUGGCUACGUAGUAAGCUCAAUUACCACGCCCCUGUGACACAGAAUGACCAACACCAACUGUGUAUUUGCAGGUAGGCAUCACAUGACCUUUGGAUGUAGCAAAUAACAACAAGAUGAUUUGUGAUGUCACAAAUCAAUGAAUAUCAUUGCAUACAUCAGCAAAAGUAGCAAAACGGAGCAAAAUCACCAUUUUUGACAAGAAGGGCCCCUCUAGCAAAGAUGAGACUUGUCUAGCUCCUGUAAGUUAGUACAGAUGAAUUCUAUGCUACUAGCAUAAAAUCGAAAGUUGUAUUCCUAAUAUAUUUGCCACCAAAAAACAACAAAAUUCAGUAUUUCUCAGAACUUACUAGCAGCCCAGACUUCCGUUGAAGCUCAAAAGAUGAGCAAUAUAGUCGGGUACAUACACAAUAAAUUUCAGAUCUUAACUCAAACAAAUAAGCUACUUCUAUUCCUAACAUAUUUUCGGAGGUACACAUUUUCGGAGGUACACAUCUUCAGACAGCCAUUUCAUAGUGAUGAUGUCAUGUGAUGUUCCUGAAGGAUUCUGUUAGUCCACGCUCGUCAAUUGUCCAGUUGCGGAUGCUUUCUACGGUGGCCCUGAGGUACACACCUACUCCAUUUUUCAUUUCCGGUUCAUUUCGCAGUUCAACUACGCUUAAUUCUGCAGUUCACUUUGCAGUUCACUUUUCAGUUCACUUUGCAGUUCACUUUUCAGUUUACUUUGCAGUUCACUUUUGCAGUUUGCUUCUGCAGUUCAGUUUUUCAGUUCUCUUCUGCAGUUCAUUUGCUGUAUCACAAUAAUCACGUGACAUCACAUGUGCUUUAAUAAGAAACACCUGGAAACUUAGGAGGAGAACAGUCUGUCUGUCUGUAUCUGUGUUUAUCAUGGCACAUUUAUCUACACAACAACUCAACGAAGUCUUGAUGAAAUACUUUUACUCAUGGAGACCCUACAAAGUAAUUGUUCAAAGACUGGAAGAAGUGCAUGGAGUAAAGAGGAGUGUGUCUUGGUUGAAAAAAAGAUUUAGACGUCUCUGUCUGUAUCGUCGACCAAGUGAGUAUGCACCUUUUGGAGUGGUCAGAAACUGUAUACAGUGUUUAAAACAUAGAGAGAACUGAGGACAUCAAAUCGGUCCAUAGGCUACAGAUGUAUGGGGAAAUUGCUUAGAGAUACAUAUCGAUUGGUAACAAAAAGGGUUACAGUAAUGCACAUUCUGCAAGUAGCUGAUCCUCAUGCAGUUCAGCAUCGUCAUUCCCGAAGAUUGAGUAGAAGAAAAUACAUAUCGAAGGUUGUAUUACAUAUAGGGCCCAAAUUUUGUGUGGCAUUUAGACGGAAUGGACAAACUCUCUCUGUUUGGGUUCUGUUUGGGUUCUGCAUUCACGGAUGUAUUGAUGGGUAUGCCAGAAACUCAGGAAUAGUGUAUACACACUGUACAUAUGCAUGUAUGUUGUAUGUUCAGCUUCUCCAGGAAAGUGGUGUGGCUAAGCACGAAUCAUGAUCAUUCUGCACUACUAUCUUCAGGCUGUUGCUAUUUUGAGAGGCCGUCCAGGCCGUCCAUCCAUAUUACGCAUGGAUCAUGGGACUGAAAACAGCUUCAUAGGUGCCAUUCAGUAUUCUAUGCGGGAAGAUGGACAGGACCCUUUCAGUGGUGAACGAUCCAUUCGUUAUGGCACUUCUCCUGCUAACAUCAGGAUUAUCUCAGGAGGCAUACAACUGGAUGGUGGAUAGAUCAAUUUAAGCAACUGGAAAUGGAGGGAUUUUUUGUGAAAGGAAACUUGUUCCACAAGAAUUGUCUUUUUAUUGUGUUCUCCCCUUUAAUUGAACGAAGUCUUGCAGCAUUUGUCCACUAUUGGAACACACACACUAUUCGUGAAUUACGGUCCGAUUGGUAUACCUGACGACCUUUACGAUAUGCCAGCAACAUACGGUGUGGACGACUAUGUGCAUCCUGUGAAAUGGGAUGUGUGGAAUGUAGCUGCCACUGAAAUGGCAAAAAGUCCCCAAUGACGACUUUUAUGAUGCUUAUCACCAAAUUCUACUAAAUGAUUUAAGGCUUGACCCAAGUUCUG